GAAACCGUUUUCAGCCAAAAUUGUCUAUCUUUUACAUAUGUAGCAUGUGUGGAACAUAUUUAGAAUCAUGAGAUGAAACUAGUAUAGAUAAAGCACAAGCCAAAGUACACGGACGAACGAUACAAGGUAGUGAGGGAGCCCUCUUACAGAUCAAAUAGCUCAAAUGGUUUUAGGUGUGCCCAGGGACGAAGCUCAUGUGUAGGCAGUGGUGUCAGUUGACACCAAUGCCAUUCGAUGCUUCAGCUAAUAGCUUUACCGAUUUGUGACUUUGACCCCAGGAAAAAAGAUCGAUUGACCCCAGCCCACCACAAAACAAAAGCCCAAAGUCUUAGGCCAGUUAGAUAAUUACAACAGUAAAGAAGAAGUAUCUGUUUGCUAACCUAGCACGUUGUCCACAAGGCCCAAUCUAUCUGGUGCCUAUCCCUGGACGCAGCCGGUCGCCAGGUCGCUGUAGGUCACGACGCGCGCCUCUCUCAAGCGAUUCGCUUCGUCAAUGACAUCGAUCCCCAAAUCCUCUGCACACCUACCGCUGCUAUCAGGGAACUACACAACGGUGGACGAUGCUAAUUUUGGUUCGGCGAUUUCCGCCAGCCGGCCGCGUCACCCUAAUUAGUCCUGCAAUUCUUGAUUGUCCACUUCGGUUCAUCCCAGUUGACAAAAUCGACGAGGAGAUGCUUUUCGGAAAUGGAUAUUGUCAAGAGUGUUUUGCAUGGGUGACCAGUUCAUGAGUGAUAGCCUGAGUUGCUAUGUGGAUAAAUAUAUAUUUACUAUCACUACAAACGAUUCCUUGGUUGAUUUAUUGAAUGAAGAAGAUUAAAGGUCGAGAAGGAAGUUAUAACAUGUGAAUCUCACAUUAGUUUAUAUUUUUGCUUAAUAAGUAUUUAUUUUAUGUAUCAUUUGUUUUGUACAUUGUUGUCAAAAUAUUUUUUUC